rnacentral:tRNA from 1 species
GCGGAUAUGGCGAAAAUUGGAAGACGCGCAUGCUUGAGGGGUAUGUAAGAAUUAUUUCUUAUAUGAGUUCAAAUCUCAUUAUCCGCACCA